rnacentral:lncRNA from 1 species
GUGUCGUGGUUGUUAGGGAACAUAGAUUUCUCAACAUUCUUUAUCUUCUUUGCAUCAACUUAGCCGAAAGUCAGUCGAGGAAUCUCUGCAAAUAAUUGAAAAGUGAAAGGUCCCACCCCAGCCUUCUUUUGAUUGAAAUUUUUUUCAUGCUUUUCUCUCGUAGAAUCCGCUUUAUUGGCACCUGGAUCGUGUCCUCAUCAUUUCUAAUGCUUUUAUUCUCCAUUCUCGGCCUUUCCUCCGUUACAAACAUCCAUCGAUCGAAGUCAAAUCUAAAUGUCCUCAUGCUUUUGCUUUUUGUCUGCGUAUGGGAUUCACGCUCCGGCUUCCGUCUAAUCUGCCAACUUUGUGAUGAUGUCAAUGAUUCACAUUAAAUAAUAAUAUUUUCACACAUUUUGGUAAAAAUUAUGAAUUUCUUAUAUCUUAAUCCAUCUCGAUCUCUCGAGGAUUUGGAAGUGCUGCUGGGGACCGGCUUGACUCAAGCAUA